AACGCGAAGAACCUUACCUGGGUUUGACAUGCACAGGACGGUCGUAGAGAUACGGCUUCCCUUGUGGCCUGUGUGCAGGUGGUGCAUGGCUGUCGUCAGCUCGUGUCGUGAGAUGUUGGGUUAAGUCCCGCAACGAGCGCAACCCUUGUCCUAUGUUGCCAGCGGGUAAUGCCGGGGACUCGUAGGAGACUGCCGGGGUCAACUCGGAGGAAGGUGGGGACGACGUCAAGUCAUCAUGCCCCUUAGUCCAGGGCUGCACACAUGCUACAAUGGCCGGUACAAAGGGCUGCUAUCCCGCGAGGGUGAGCGAAUCCCAAAAAGCCGGUCUCAGUUCGGAUCGGAGUCUGCAACUCGACUCCGUGAAGUCGGAGUCGCUAGUAAUCCCGGAUCAGCAACGCCGGGGUGAAUACGUUCCCGGGCCUUGUACACACCGACUGUAC
rnacentral:rRNA from 1 species